GUGGUCGUAGCUCAACUGGCUAGAGCGCCUGCUUGUGGAGCAGGAGGUUGCCGGAUCAUCCCCGGUCGACCACC
rnacentral:tRNA from 1 species